rnacentral:lncRNA from 1 species
GUAUAAUUCAAUCUAAGAGCACGCGGUCGCCAUUUCACCAAAACCUCAAAAGACUACACACUCAAGUAAAGAAAAGCUUUGAAACUUUCGAAAUGGUUAUGCUGUAGUGAAGUAGAGUAAGGUAUGGUUAAAAGUAAACAAUUUUCACUUGUAGUGCUGUUUAAAUCGUAUUUGAUUGUACGGAGUAUGCUUUGAAUUUUUAGUCAUACAAUUUGUCAGUUAGUUAGCCGCCCGCUUAUCGACUUGUGUUCGCUUUAUAUAGCUGCCAAUUCCUUGAUAUUUCAGCCAAAUUUUGUUGUAAUAAUGUUUUACGGUACUAAGGUUUGAUUUGUCCGACUAAUAUUUGCUUGUUCUUCAAUUUUAGUUCGUAAAUGUCGACGAGAAAGUUAACUUGAGCGGCAGAGUAAGAGCUGUCGAAGACACGCGCGCUGGUAAGCAUGUUUUCUAGUUAAAUGUUGUUUGUUGUCUGUAGCUCGCUUUUCGAGCUUCUCCUUCCCCAACUAGAACACUGUGUAGCAUUAGCGACGUUUAAAGACGAUUUCGAGUUAGUUUAGUGUAGUUUUUGACCAUUUUUUUUCCGACGGAGAGCAAAAACGACCGUCUAUUAAUCGACCCUUAAGUUUAAGAUAAUUGUUCGAGUCGUGAAGAAUUAGUUAAGACAAUUAAGGAUUUAAGAUGAGCCUUGUGGUUUUGGAGUAGAUAUUAAAAUAUGUUAAAUUAAAACCCUUCUUAAAUACUUUGAGAUGGUAAAUUUGAAUUGUACUGUAAUAAUAAGACCGAAUUUGCACUGUAGCUAAUAAGUGAUUUAGUUCACGUCUGCUUGUUGGAUGCAUUUUAAAAUAGGGCAUAUCAAAUGGCAAGCACAAAGAGGACUUUUUAACUUUAAUACCUAAUGGGCUAUUUUACAGUAAGACAUUUAUGAAGUACAUAUAUAAGAACAAGGUGUCUAAAGCUGGCUUAUAUGUAUUCGUUUACCAAUGCUGGUUUAAUUUCUUUGAUGCAUGAAGUUUGAUUCAGCUAAAGUCAUUGAUGGGUGUGUCGCUAUAUGAUUUCACCAGUGGGUCAUGCUAUAUAGAUGCAGCUAAUUCAAUUAAUUAUAAGGUUGUCUCCGAAGGUCAAAAUCUUCGACCAGUCGACCUCAAGCGCGAAAUCAGUGAACAAUGGACGUCUCCAGGGCCGGAACUACGGGGCGGUUUUGGGGUGUAACACCCCCUCAAUGAAAAGUCAAAAGAGGGGGCCCAGCUUGCCCAGAGGGCCCCCCGGAAUGCUGGAUUGAGGUCGAAAAAGAUCUCAAAAAGUAUUUAUAAGCCCUGUUAUCUCAAACUAGUGUUUGGAAAAAUUUUUGGGACGUUUUUUGGGAAAAAACCGUCGACCUCCCCCCAUUUUUGCUGGAAAAAUUUUUGCUUUCCGGAAUUUUUUCUGGGAGGGGGGGGGGGCUGAGGGACGAGGGCCCCAACCAGAUACCGCUUGGCACUGCCCUGGGCGUCUUUAUUAUUAUUAUUAUGAGAUUUAUUUAUGCAUGCAUGUUAGGACGAUCUUGUUGUUAUCUUUUGCUAAUUAAGUAUGUGUAAUAUUUAUGCUAAUCGUUCAAGUGAAUUUAAUUUCCAAAGGAGUUAAGCGUGCUCAAAACAACAUUCUUCAAACGAGGAUCUCGGCAUGGAAACGACAAUCUUAAUCGAUCGAAUUAGCUGUAUAUAACUAUAAGCCUAAUUAGAGGUUAUCAGUUGUCAUCUAAAAUCCAAACCAAAACAGUGUAGUGUUUAUUGCACUUUCCCCCUACCAAAGUCCUCGUUUUCAUGUAGUUAUUAGAAACCUUACGAUGUGGAACGAUGUGGGCAACGUGACGAUGGCUAUUCACACAAUGAUAUUGGCCGUUUUUAUACUAGAGACGCAUUAUGCGUCCAGACGAACUUGGGUAAGCAUUUAUUCUUCGUCUGGUUAUGCGUUCUUGGUAUAAAAACUGGCACAAGACGCAUUAUACAUCUAAACACACUAUCAAUCAUAAUAUUUAAGAGAAAAAAUGAAUAAUUUGUAUACAACAGGAGUUUUAGACGUCGUCCAUGGUCUGUUUACAACAGGGAACAACAGACUUUUACGUCUUGGAUAAAGCCUGCAUUUUAAGACGUGAGGCGUAAAUAUACUCAGCAAAUUAGCUCAGUUCUACAGUAGAACUUUUUCAACAGUAAAUCCGGCUAACAAAACAGCUGUAUUAAAUUGAUAAGAUAAACAAUAGUCGAGAAACUUUCUUUAAGCCUGGUUCACAUUGAUUGGCGAUGUUCUACGAUCCAUUGUCUGUGAGCAACGAAGAAGAAAAUGCACAAAACAUUUUAUGCAUCAAUGACAACCGACAAUGGGCAUCGCCGAUGUUUACGAUCAAUGUGAACCAGGCUUUACAAUCGUUAUUUUGAAUGAUUUGAAUAUGCAUAUGGCCGCUAUCUUUGUCGUUGCGUUGCCGCCCUACAUAGUAAGGUCUCUAUUUUCUCGUGUUUCGUGAAGAAUAGGGCUAACGAUAGGCGUGCCAUGCUAAAACAGGCGAACUCGGAAACGAGGCAAUUUGGAAAAAAUUGCAACUAGUAAUCAGUACGUCUAUUCAAUCAUUUCAGGGGUUGGUGUUCCACUUUGUCAGUUCCAGACUUUUGACACUUAUAUACAUUUCUUUGCCAUAUUUCACAGUUUGUUACUGGAUGUUCAAUGGCCAAAUGUUAUAUCUGACGACGAAAUACUCAAAACAACAAAACCAAAUUGAGAAAGAUCAUUUGAAGAAGUAAAGAUCAGAAGAUAAAAGUGAACAUGUGCUCAGAAUGGAAAAUGACAGAACUUGUGUGACAGCAUUCAUGUGGAAAUCAGAACGUACUCAGAAGAAUAAAACUAAGAAAGAUAAGUGAAGGAGUACAUAUCAGAAUAAAGAAGUGGACAUCUACUCAUCAAUGGAAAAUGACUGUAAUUAUGUAACAGCAUUAACGUGAAAAAAACUUAAGGGACGAAGCAACGUGCGACGCCCAAGAACUCUGGAAAAAGAAAGUGUUGGAGAUCUCCAAAAGACAUUUAUUACUGGAUUGUUGGCAACGUUCGAAAGAGGGUUUCUUGAGGACCUUUGCAAAUGAAACCAAGCAUGCCAUUUUCUUUAAAUAUUAAUUUCAAAUUCAUGACCUAUUUCAAACGUUUUCAACUCAAAAUUUAAAUUCCAAAAUAUAUAUUUCCUGAAAUUUUAAA